UUGGUUAAGUUAGAAAGGGCGCACGGUGGAUGCCUUGGCACUAGGAGCCGAAGAAGGACGGGACUAACACCGAUAUGCUUUGGGGAGCUGUACGUAAGCGUUGAUCCAGAGAUUUCCGAAUGGGGGAACCCACUAUCUUUAGUCGGAUAGUAUCCUUACGUGAAUACAUAGCGUGAGGAAGGCAGACCCAGGGAACUGAAACAUCUAAGUACCUGGAGGAAGAGAAAGAAAAAUCGAUUUCCUGAGUAGCGGCGAGCGAAACGGAAAGAGCCCAAACCAAGAAGCUUGCUUCUUGGGGUUGUAGGACACUCUAUACGGAGUUACAAAAGAAAGUUAUAAAUGAAGCGGUCUGGAAAGGCCCGCCAAAGACGGUAACAGCCCGGUAGUUGAAAUGGCUUUCCCUCCAGAGUGGAUCCUGAGUACGGCGGAACACGUGAAAUUCCGUCGGAAUCCGGGAGGACCAUCUCCCAAGGCUAAAUACUCCCUAGUGACCGAUAGUGAACCAGUACCGUGAGGGAAAGGUGAAAAGCACCCCGGAAGGGGAGUGAAACAGUUCCUGAAACCGUGUGCCUACAAGUAGUUAGAGCCCGUUAAUGGGUGAUAGCGUGCCUUUUGUAGAAUGAACCGGCGAGUUACGAUUUGUUGCAAGGUUAAGCGGAAAAAGCGGAGCCGUAGCGAAAGCGAGUCUGAAUAGGGCGCAUAAGUAACAGGUCGUAGACCCGAAACCAGGUGAUCUACCCAUGUCCAGGAUGAAGGUAAGGUAAUACUUACUGGAGGUCCGAACCCACGCACGUUGAAAAGUGCGGGGAUGAGGUGUGGGUAGCGGAGAAAUUCCAAUCGAACUUGGAGAUAGCUGGUUCUCUCCGAAAUAGCUUUAGGGCUAGCCUCGAGGUAAAGAGUCAUGGAGGUAGAGCACUGUUUGGACUAGGGGCCCUUCUCGGGUUACCGAAUUCAGAUAAACUCCGAAUGCCAUGUACUUAUACUCGGGAGUCAGACUGCGAGUGAUAAGAUCCGUAGUCGAAAGGGAAACAGCCCAGACCACCAGUUAAGGUCCCCAAAUAUAUGUUAAGUGGAAAAGGAUGUGGGGUUGCUUAGACAACCAGGAUGUUGGCUUAGAAGCAGCCACCAUUGAAAGAGUGCGUAAUAGCUCACUGGUCGAGUGACCCCGCGCCGAAAAUGUACCGGGGCUAAACAUAUUACCGAAACUGUGGAUGAACCUCUUUAGAGGUUCGUGGUAGGAGAGCGUUCUAAGGGCGGUGAAGUCAGACCGGAAGGACUGGUGGAGCGCUUAGAAGUGAGAAUGCCGGUAUGAGUAGCGAAAGAAGGGUGAGAAUCCCUUCCACCGAAUAUCUAAGGUUUCCUGAGGAAGGCUCGUCCGCUCAGGGUUAGUCGGGACCUAAGCCGAGGCCGAUAGGCGUAGGCGAUGGACAACAGGUAGAGAUUCCUGUACCAGUGCUAAUUGUUUAACCGAUGGGGUGACACAGAAGGAUAGGGAAUCGCACGAAUGGAAAUGUGCGUCCAAGCAGUGAGUGUGAGAAGUAGGCAAAUCCGCUUCUCGCGAAGCAUGAGCUGUGAUGGGGAAGGAAAUUAAGUACGGAAGUUCCUGAUUUCACGCUGUCAAGAAAAGCCUCUAGGAAGAGUAGUACUGCCCGUACCGCAAACCGACACAGGUAGAUGAGGAGAGAAUCCUAAGGUGAGCGAGAGAACUCUCGUUAAGGAACUCGGCAAAAUGACCCCGUAACUUCGGGAGAAGGGGUGCUCUAUUAGGGUGCAAGCCCGAGAGAGCCGCAGUGAAUAGGCCCAGGCGACUGUUUAGCAAAAACACAGGUCUCUGCAAAACCGUAAGGUGACGUAUAGGGGCUGACGCCUGCCCGGUGCUGGAAGGUUAAGAGGAGUGCUUAGCUUCGGCGAAGGUACGAAUUGAAGCCCCAGUAAACGGCGGCCGUAACUAUAACGGUCCUAAGGUAGCGAAAUUCCUUGUCGGGUAAGUUCCGACCCGCACGAAAGGCGCAACGAUCUGGGCACUGUCUCAACGAGAGACUCGGUGAAAUUAUAGUACCUGU
rnacentral:rRNA from 1 species